rnacentral:rRNA from 1 species
GAUGAACGCUGGCGGCGUGCCUAAUACAUGCAAGUCGAGCAACAGACGAGGAGCUUGCUCCUCUGACGUUAGCGGCGGACGGGUGAGUAACACGUGGAUAACCUACCUAUAAGACUGGGAUAACUUCGGGAAACCGGAGCUAAUACCGGAUAAUAUAUUGAACCGCAUGGUUCAAUAGUGAAAGACGGUUUUGCUGUCACUUAUAGAUGGAUCCGCGCCGCAUUAGCUAGUUGGUAAGGUAACGGCUUACCAAGGCAACGAUGCGUAGCCGACCUGAGAGGGUGAUCGGCCACACUGGAACUGAGACACGGUCCAGACUCCUACGGGAGGCAGCAGUAGGGAAUCUUCCGCAAUGGGCGAAAGCCUGACGGAGCAACGCCGCGUGAGUGAUGAAGGUCUUCGGAUCGUAAAACUCUGUUAUUAGGGAAGAACAAAUGUGUAAGUAACUAUGCACGUCUUGACGGUACCUAAUCAGAAAGCCACGGCUAACUACGUG